rnacentral:rRNA from 1 species
GUUCAAGCCGCCGCGGUAACACGAACCGUACGAACGUUAUUCGGAAUUACUGGGCUUAAAGGGUUUGUAGGCGGCCUUGUAAGUCAGGUGUGAAAGCCCUCGGCUCAACCGAGGAACAGCGCUUGAUACUGCAAGGCUUGAGGGAGACAGGGGUAAGCGGAACUGAUGGUGGAGCGGUGAAAUGCGUUGAUAUCAUCAGGAACACCGGUGGCGAAAGCGGCUUACUGGGUCUCUUCUGACGCUGAGGAACGAAAGCUAGGGUAGCGAACGGGAUUAGAAACCCUUGUAGUCC